rnacentral:rRNA from 1 species
UACAGAGGGGGCAAGCGUUGUUCGGAAUUACUGGGCGUAAAGGGCGCGUAGGCGGCCUGUUAAGUCGAACGUGAAAUCCCCGGGCUCAACCCGGGAACUGCGUCCGAUACUGGCAGGCUUGAAUUCGGGAGAGGGAUGCGGAAUUCCAGGUGUAGCGGUGAAAUGCGUAGAUAUCUGGAGGAACACCGGCGGCGAAGGCGGCACCCUGGACCGAGAUUGACGCUGAUGCGCGAAAGCCAGGGGAGCAAACGGG